AGCUGUGGCUACUUGCCUACACUCCAUGAUUACCAGCUACUCUCAGAGUUCGUGCUUCCUUCCUUCUCUGAGUAUUUCAACAGAUGCAUGAAAUAACAAUGUCCACCUGGUAAACCCAGAGGGCUGGAGCAGGAACAGCAGUAUUAUAGCCAGCAAGAACACAGCUACCACAUGUUGUUAAGUGCCUGGUGACUUAUUUCCAAAUAAAACUGGACCCAGUUCCUAGUUCUUCUCCAAGCUUUGCAUCUAUUAUCGAGAAUGGAUGCCCGCUGAACAAUGCAAAGAAGAACAGAACAUACAGCCCACAGACAAAUUAUUCUGCAAGGAGAAGAACAGACUGGGUACAUUAGAGCUGAGAACUACGCCACAGCAUUCAGAAAAGAGUGAAAGCAGUGCAGCAGAGCUGAAUCACAUGAAAAGGAGGUUAUACCCGUUCAGAUUUUGCAAAGAUUCCGUAAGGACUCCAAACUCCUCUGACUCUUGGUUCCCUUUGUUGACAUGCCCUGCUGUUGCUCCAUCCUAAGGGAUGUCUACAUUUCAGGUCAAAAGAAAUCUCAUUCCCAUUAUCCAUUUGACCUCUGUAUGUCUCAUUUUCUGUAAGUCUCUUCCCAAAGUUAUAUUCACUGUACUUGCUGAUUCAAUUUAGCUGUAAACCCCAUUAAAAUUAAUGAACACAAA